AGCUCAGAGGUAGAGCACGUGCUUAACACGCACAAAGCCCUGGGUUCAAUCCCCAG
rnacentral:tRNA from 1 species